rnacentral:lncRNA from 1 species
UACCAAGCAUGCCCUCGUUUCCUACUAUUCCAAGUACCCUUCCUUCUAUUCCUUUCCUUUCUCCACCACCUGGAAACUAAUUUUCUUUUUAAAAUCAGACUCCAAUGCCACUGAACAAUACUCAUUAUUUGGAAACUAAAUCUUUGAUAUGUCAUAUGUCCCAUUGCCUUAUCUCUACGGAUUUUUUUCUUUUUUUCUUUUUGUGACACAUUGUGAGCUUGUCUUUCAUUUACUUUUUGUGUGUUAGCAUUUUUUUCCGGAUAUGUAUUUGUUUCUGU